UACGUAGGUGGCAAGCGUUGUCCGGAAUUAUUGGGCGUAAAGCGCGCGCAGGCGGUAAGUUAAGUCUGAUGUGAAAGCCCCGGGCUCAACCUGGGAAUGGCAUUGGAAACUGGCUUGCUGGAGUGUGGCAGAGGGGGGUGGAAUUCCGCGUGUAGCAGUGAAAUGCGUAGAGAUGCGGAGGAACACCGAUGGCGAAGGCAGCCCCCUGGGCCAACACUGACGCUCAGGCACGAAAGCGUGGGGAGCAAACAGG
rnacentral:rRNA from 1 species